UACGGGGGGGGCAAGCGUUGUUCGGAAUUACUGGGCGUAAAGGGCGCGUAGGCGGAAUUGUAAGUCAGGGGUGAAAUCCCGGGGCUCAACCUCGGAACUGCCUUUGAUACUGCAAGUCUCGAGUCCGGAAGAGGUGAGUGGAAUUCCUAGUGUAGAGGUGAAAUGCGUAGAUAUUGGGAAGAACACCGGUGGCGAAGGCGGCCAUCUGGCCCGUAAUUGACGCUGAGGCGCGAAAGCGUGGGGAGCAAACAGG
rnacentral:rRNA from 1 species